AUGCUCGUUCCCGGGUUCCUGGGCACCUCUUCCCCGACGCCGGGCGCGCGAGGGCUGGAGAAGCACUUGCCCUUGCCCUUGCGGGGACAGGGACUAAUGCGGCCACCACCCCAGCGAAUAAGCGGUCACAGCCGUGGAGCUGGGGCGGAAGGGCCCGCUGCCCUCGCCCGGGAGCCUGGCCUUGUGGGUGCCUGGACUUCGCGGCCCUGCGUCCCCCUGCCGUCCCCACACUGCAAAGACCACAAGCUCCUGAGGGGAGGAACGGAACCAGCCAUUCGAAUUUUCUCAGGUUCCUCCUCCCCCGCUGCCGCCGGGGCCUAUGAAAUGCAUCUCGAGACUCCUGCAGAAAUCAAGCAAGCUGCCCACGUUGUCAUUCCUGUCCGCUCAGGGGAGAGAGAUGGCUAGUCCCGUGGAGCCCAGGGAGCGAGCAUAUGGAGACGGGGAUUCAGUAAAAACAUCUGGUGUGCUGGGAUCUGACGCUGGGAUAGAGCACCUUGCUCUCCGGUGGAGGGUUAUGUGAUUUCUGGAGAUUAAUAAUUCUGGAGGGAAAAUAAUAAUAAUAAAAAAGGUGGCUUCUUCAAGAGGCACUCGCAGGAGGAGCAAGAUGCGUGGUGUGUCUCCGUAUAAACGCGUUGUGACGAGACAAGGUGUUUGCAGGAAGAAAGAGCAGCGAGUGGGUUCCUAACUCCGAGCCCCGUUUAUCCUCGUGCUGCGAAGCAGAAGCAUUUGUCAGGUUGGGUGAAGCCCCGGUGCCCGACCGCGAGCAACGGUGCUGUGAAGUAUUGACUGAGUCUCGGUUCCUAAUGCAAAAUGCAAAAUGGGAAUUGAAACGUACUUGAUGGAAUUAAAACAUUAGUAUUGGCUUUCAGCUCUUGCCUCUCUGGCUCCCGUAAUAAAUGCAGGGCAUCUUAAAAAUAAAAGCCAACAAACCCAGAGAACACAGCCAGACGCCUUUGCAAGACAGAGGAGGCACCAAACCUCUCUGCGAGAUUUGAGAAUUGAUUUUCUCCAGUGUGAACUCCGGCAACUGUUUCAUCUCUAAGUUUGACAUACACUUUUCAUUUAUUUUAAGUAGAAUGCUUUUAUUUUUACUACGGGUAUAUGAAGACCCUGUGACAUGUUGAUAGAUGGAAUAAUCCUGCUUGCCACGUUAAACCCUAUGUAGGGGACGUCGGAACGGGAAUGCUCCGAAACACCUACCGUGAAUACGCUGACCCUCGCAUCAUUAAGCACGUGUGUGCGCUGGGCCUCUCCACGUGGGGAGAAGCGUAGGGUUCGGUGUCUGGUCCCUUCCGAAGGAGGGUCAUGGGGCAUUUCAUCCGAGACAGCGUCCUUUUGUCCACGGGCUGGGUGUGGUCCUUUGGCACAUUGUCCUUUACCGACUAGGCUUGGUGUUCAUCAAGAUGGCAGGAACCAACAUGCCUGGUUCUCCGCGCCUGGAGGAGGUUCAGGCCUACGCUUAACCCCAAAUCUUGAGAGUCUAAGUCCACGGUGACGAGGAAGCCCUUCGAGCCCCGGGGAAUCCAGGCCCAAUGCUUUAGUUCUCGUUUCUCGAGGCUUUGAGGAAAUCUGGGUUUGGGUUUCCAGCCUGACGCUCCCCAAGGGGUGGCGUGCUUGGGCCGAGGAAGCAAAAUGCCCCAAAGGGCCCCAUCUGGGCUCCACACAUAUCCCUUCUGAGGCUCGUGACAUUUCCAGCAAUCUCAGCUGAAAGCCCAGAAAGCCCUGGUAGUCUUUUCUAACCACCGGCUUCUUUCUCGCUGCCCUCCUGAAGCCUGGCUGUAGACUUCUGUCUGGUUCGGGGCCGCUCUUGCACCGACUCGACUCCUGUCCAAUCCCAGCGGGUCCUCGGCCCCGGGGAGGUGAGAGGGAAGACGGGGGAGGUCUGGGAAACAGGGAGGACCUUCAUCUGGCCCUAGCCCGGGCCACCCAGCCCGUCGUCAUUGGUGGAGGCCUCCAGGGAAGCCCGCUACUCACCCAGUGCCCACAUCGCACGGAUCCCGGGCUGGCGCGGGGAUGGCUUAUCCUGACCUAACCCCAAGGUUUCGGGGUCCCUUUCGGGUCCCAAGCAGGCCGCCCCUCCCGGGAGCUGAAGAGCUAAGCUGCUAGACUUGUUUUUAAUCAGUACGAUUUGCUUGGGCCUCCAGGUCUCGUUCCAGGCUGUGGACUCCCAGGCUGCUGGGACCGCGUCUGGCGCCCCGGCCGCCUGCCUCUCCAGAGUUUAUUUCGAGGACACUGCAGGCCGAAGCCCUUGACUUCUGGUCUGAAGAGCUCGGGGUCAUUCCCGGCGAUUUCCCGGAGGGCUGUGGCGGGGCGGGCUCCCGGGUUGGCACCCGUGGCGGGCGCAUCCUGCUUUGGGUUGAGAGCGGGCCGCUUGGCCUGCGGAGCACAGAGUAUUGUCCUGGGGUCUGAAACUUUCCCGAGACUUGGGCCUGUCUGGGCGAGGCGAAUCUAUGGCUCUCCAGACACGUUUUGAGUGAAUUGGUUUCAGCUUUCACAAAAUGCUAAUGUUGAUAUUGUUUACGUCUGGUUGCAUUGUUUUUCAGUUUAAAAUUACAGCUUUAGUACAUUAAGCUAAUUUCAUAAUACUGUAUUAACUUAAUAUUCCAUAAAUCACACAUGUCAGAUCGCAUUGUUACGGAUGCACAGAACCCAAAUUUACUACUCAGGCUCUCCAAACACAUGUAUUCAUAAUUUGCUCCAGCGAGCCCUACGCCGCCAUAUAGGGUUAAGGAAUUACACAUUCCAAUGCCAGGCACAGAUCACGCUGCUCCCUCUCUCUCUCUGCAAUUGUUCUCCAUACAAAUUGAAACAAUAUAUUUCCAGCCAUUUUCAUAGUUGUAAUUACUAGCAAAAAUCGUAAUACCGCGAACAUAUUUUAAACACCUGCACUUUUGGUCCGACGCGUAUAUAUGUUUUUUUUUUUUUUUCUUUCCCUUUUAAGCUGAGUGUUUCCAUUUGAAUGAGGUUGAGAAAGCUCACUCGUGGUGGUGGUGGUAGCAGUCGCUGGGGGACGUUUUGCCUUCUGCGGGGGGGGGACGAUGAUAACUUUUGACUUGGAAGGGAGAGGAGGAGAGAAAAUGGCAGAGGCGCUCAGCCUGCACGCGUUCUCCUCUCUGCUCUCCGUCUGUCUGUCUGUCUGUCUGUCUCUCUCUCUCUCCACCUUGGCAGAAGGGACUUAAUUGCAGCGGGACUGGCUCUUCCGUGCUGCUGCGGGGGGCCCUGUUGCAAGGGGGCAAAGUUCUGUGCCUGAGCCCGGCUCGCGGGUUCCGGGAACAAAGGGAUGCUCUCUGUGGGGGCCGUGGCGGUCGGUGGGCUGGGGCACGGAGGAGCCUCUGUAGGGUUUUAACCACACACUGUCUAAUCGGGCUCUGACAAGUCCAUUGUAAAUCAAAGGUCUGGUAAGUGGGGAUGCCAGAAAUGUUUGAUCUCCUUCCAAGCCUUGAAACAACUUGCUUAUUUUUUCUGCAGUUUGGCUCCUCACUAAAAUAAAACAUUGCGAGAUGAAUGUUCUGACGGGUCAUUGUGUGUCAAGCUGUCACUCUGUAAUGGUUACAUAUUUCAGCUGGAUUGAGGUGGUGCCGGUUGGGGGAGGUCUGUGGGAGAGAGAGAGCGAGAGCGAGAGAGCGAGAGGCAGAGAGAGAGAGAGAGAGAGAGGCAGAGAGAUAGGGUAAGGAAGGAGACAAAGAGUAACAAGAUUUCUGCUUUCUCCUUGUGGCUGAUCUUCAUUUAAACCAAACACUUGUCAUGUUCAGGGGAAGUUUUAUAAAUUUUUAAUGAUAUUGGGUACAACUGGUGCUUUGAAAUUUGCUGUACUUUAAUUUUUUCUUCGUUAGCAAAGGUUCACUAAUGCAUUGAAGUGCUAAGAGCGUAUCCUAGGGAUGCCACGAUAAUUGUGUUGUUAAUAAUAUUGUGGCACUAGUAAUGUUCUCCUGGUAAUCAAGGCAUGAGAUUUUUUUUUAAUAUAUUCAGUUAUUACACUGCAUCUCGUACAAAUCAUGUCAAUUACAAUUGCCAGCCUGUGACAGUUAAAAUAAUUGUAUACGUUUUCUAGAAUUUUCCAUUGGCUUGGCUAAUCAAGCUAAAAAAAAAUCAACACAUUAUUUGCAUUAAUUUUGUUUCUGGUCUAGUCCCACUCCUAAAUCAUUUGUCCAUCUACUUCAAAAGGCAGAACAGUAAGUAUUUUAAUAAUAAAUAUACGCACACAUUCGCACCGACCUAAUUUAAGGAUACUUCUGUAGGUCUGGCAAGACGGAAUCAUCCGGUAGGGAUGUUUUGUGUGACUGGGUUUAUGGCUUCCAGUGGUGUGCACGCGUGCUGAUGCUGGGUUCACGUUGUAUACACUUGGGAUAUGUGGAGUCUACGUUGAUAGAGACGAACCUUGUAGGAACAUUGGCUUUAGCAUUUUCUAUUUCUGUAUUCAGUCCGUAGUUCUGUCUAGGUCAGGGAAAUUACACCAUUUCGGUCUUUCCUUUUUGGCUCCACUGAAAUAGCUCAAUAUCCCUCUGCACCAGGAAAUGAUGUAUGUAAUACUUUGCAGAGCGGCACUGCAAAUUUGCAGCUCAAACACUAGUCUUCCACUUCCAGGAGCUCAGCGUCCUGACCGGCACUGGAGCUUUCUUUAUUUGGAACUAAAAUAGCUAAACACUCAGAAAGUCCCGAACAUGUGAGACCGGCUACACACGGAGUCCCCUGUGGUGUCUCAGCAAACUUCCCCAAGGCCUGGCCUCUCUCUCUCUCUUUCUCUCUCUCUCCAUCCCCGUCACCCAGGGGCCCUCCCUGUCACAGCCAUGAGCGGGGAGGGGUUUUGGUGACACGGAGGAGGCAUUUUUGAAUAUGGACCCCAAAGUGCACAGGAGAAUGGGAGGAGGGUCCGGGAGGCUGGCAGGGGAGCCCUUAGCUGCCUGGACCCCGCAGCCCCACCGCACACGGGGACAGUGUGUCGGGCGGUGGGGGGCAGCGUGACACGUGUGCCUGGGGAAGGCUCACAGAUAGACCCUGAAGACUGAGUCAGCCUGGCCUCUUCCAUCUGUAGAAUAAAAAAAAAAAAAGAGGAUCGGAAAGCAAGCAGGACAGUAACCAUAUCACAAGGGGCCCUCCAGCAAGGAGGAAUGCAGCCCUUUCGAAAUAACAGCAGCCAGAAGGAUCCGAGGAACGACAGGUGGACAGACACGACCAUUUCAGCAAUUUUCGGGCACCUCGGCAGUAUUAUUUGGAGAACGCUAAAUAAGUCCCCCA
rnacentral:lncRNA from 1 species